GGGCCGAUAGCUUAGCUGGUAGAGCGCCACAUUUGCAAUGUGGAGGUCCGGAGUUCGAAUCUCCGUCGGUCCA
rnacentral:tRNA from 1 species